rnacentral:pre_miRNA from 1 species
UGUAUACACCCUCCGGCCGGAAUUACAUGUCGAAGAAAUGGAUGUACCUACAUGGAUUUUAUUUCUACAUACAUCAAUUUCUAUCCAUUUCCAUGACAAGUAAUUCCGAACGGAGGGAGUACGUA